UACGAAGGGGACUAGCGUUGUUCGGAAUUACUGGGCGUAAAGCGCACGUAGGCGGCUUUGUAAGUUAGAGGUGAAAGCCCGGGGCUCAACUCCGGAACUGCCUUUAAGACUGCAUCGCUAGAAUUGUGGAGAGGUAAGUGGAAUUCCGAGUGUAGAGGUGAAAUUCGUAGAUAUUCGGAAGAACACCCGUGGCGAAGGCGGCUCUCUGGGACGGUACUGACGCUGAGACGGCGAAAGCGUGGGGAGCGAACAGG
rnacentral:rRNA from 1 species